rnacentral:rRNA from 1 species
GACGUAGGGCGCGAGCGUUGUCCGGAUUUAUUGGGCGUAAAGAGCUCGUAGGCGGCUUGUCGCGUCGUCCGUGAAAACCCGGGGCUCAACUCCGGGCUUGCGGGCGAUACGGGCAGGCUAGAGUUCGGUAGGGGAGACUGGAAUUCCUGGUGGUAGCGGUGAAAUGCGUAGAGAUCGGGAGGAACACCAGUGGCGAAGGCGGCUACCUGGACCA